rnacentral:rRNA from 1 species
GACGUAGGGCGCAAGCGUUUGUCCGGAUUUAUUGGGCGUAAAGAGCUCGUAGGCGGUUCAUUGCGUCAAUCGUGAAAUCCUGUGGCUCAACUACAGGCUUGCGGUUGAUACGGGUGGGCUGGAGUUCGGGUAGGGGAGACUGGAAUUCCUGGUGUAGCGGUGAAAUGCGCAGAUAUCAGGAGGAACACCGGUGGCGAAGGCGGGUCUCUGGGCCGAUACUGACGCUGAGGAGCGAAAGCGUGGGGAGCGAACAGG